rnacentral:rRNA from 1 species
UACGGAGGGGGCUAGCGUUGUUCGGAAUUACUGGGCGUAAAGCGCGCGUAGGCGGACCUGCAAGUCGGGGGUGAAAGCCCGAGGCUCAACCUCGGGAACUGCCUUCGAUACUGCGGGUCUCGAGUCCGGGAGAGGUGAGUGGAAUUCCUAGUGUAGAGGUGAAUUCGUAGAGAUCGGGUGGAACACCAGUGGCGAAGGCGCCUAUCUGGCUGACAACUGACGCUGAGACUCGAAAGCGUGGGGAGCAAACAGG